UAUAUACAUAUACUGAGUGUGUUGAAGGGACAAACAAAAUAUAUUAAUGUUCUUAAAAGGUAUUAAAUAAUAAUUAUAAAUUAAGGAGGAGUUUUAACAAUUCUCUAUGAGCCAAAAACUAUUAAAAAGUAACCUAUUUGAUUUGAUCCAUAAAGAUUGUAGAAAGUAUGGUCGAAAUUGUCAAAUUUGUUUAUGUUAUGAUUAUAUUUCUUUCCCUAUUUCUUUUUGCAACAAGUUUAAGGGAAAUACCUGAUUUUUGGUAUAGAAAAUGUUAUCUAAAUUCACAAUGUCCAGACGACAUGUGCAAGGCUUCAUUUAUACCUUAUUGUAGUAAUAAGAUUUGUAAGUGUCUUUUAAUUAAGAUUUUGAUUCUAUGAGUACCAAAUUCAAGAGAUAAUACAAUCUUUUUCUUGAAUAUUUACUAAGCUAUUUUUUAUUUAGUUAUUAUGUUGGCAACCAUUAACUUUUUUUAGUCAUCAGUUAAAAAAAUACUCUAUUAAAAAAUACUCUAUUAUCAAUCAUUAACUUUUUUAUGGUCUCAUGAGAAUAUAUACAAUAUCUAUAUUUUGUAUAUUAGGGUGACAAAUAGGCAUUUUUGUCCCGCAAAAGUUAAAAAAAAAUAAAACAGAGAGAAAUAGACAUUAUGCGAGACAUAAAAAAAUAAGAGUAGCACAGGAAUACCAGCGAAAAAAUUCGAGUAAAAUGGACAUGUCCAAGAGAUUGAUCAUUUUGUCACCCUAUCGAGUUUCAUAUAAGAUAAUAUAAUAAUAAAAAUUUGGGAAAAAAGGAAUUUGUAAUGAUUCAUAAGCUUUUUAUGUUACUUACUUAGCAAGUGUGUUGAAGGGACAAACAUAAUAUACAAUGUUCUUAAGAGGCGCUUAACAAUUGUUAUAAAGUUAGGAAGAGUUACAACUAAAGAGAUUAAAAAACAUAUUUGAUUUGAUUCAUACAAAUAGAAGAAAAUAGAAGAAAAUGUGAUUGAAAUUAUCAAAUUUGUUCAUGUUAUAAUUAUAUUUCUCUUCUUAUUUCCUUUUGCAACCAGUAGUUGAUAUAGAAAAUGUUAUCUACACAAUCCAGAAGAUAUAUGAAAGCCUUCUUUUAAGAUGUUAUAUAAUUUAGUAAUUGAGUUUAGUAGUACACAAAUUCAAUGCUAAAAUAUUCGUCGAGUUAUCAAUUAGUUAUAACAAAUACUAUUUUGAUUUUUUUUCUAAUUUCAUGAACUUUAAAUUGCUAUUUUUUUUAAUGAUGAUUAUCUAAAUUGUUUGAAGUAAAGAGAAAGAUUAUUGAUUGGUUGAUUUAGAUUUUUUUACAAAAAUAACC
rnacentral:lncRNA from 1 species